rnacentral:rRNA from 1 species
GACGAACGCUGGCGGCGUGCUUAACACAUGCAAGUCGAACGCAGUGGCGAGCGGGUGAGUAACACGUGGGGGACCUGCCCUGCACUUCGGGAUAAGCCUGGGAAACUGGAUCGCAUAUACGAUAGUGUGGGAUGGGCCCGCGGCCUAUCAGCAUGUUGGUGGGGAAAUGGCCUACCAAGGCGGCGACGGGUAGCCGGCCUGAGGGGGGGGACGGACACAGUGGGAAUGGGACAGUGGCCAGACUGAUUCGGGGGGCAGCGGUGGGGAAUAUAACGCACUAGGCCGAAGCCGGAUGCAGGGACGCCGGGUGGGGGAUGACGGCCUUCGGGUGGUAAACUCCUUUCGCCAUCUACGCGGUAGAUGGCGAAGAAGCACCGGCUAACUACGUGCCAGCAGCCGCGGUAAUUC